rnacentral:lncRNA from 1 species
GGAGAUUGCAGCCGCAGCAGCUGGCUGGAAGAGGGCGGUUUGGAAGAUAAGGAGGAGAAGGAUGAGACUGUUAACCUCCAAACUAAAGAAUACAUGAUUCUGUGGUUUAUUCAAGAUCUUAACAAAGGAUUUCCACUUGAAAUUGGAUUAUCUGUGAUGGAGCUAUUCGCUGGAGAAAUUUGACUCUCUGUCUCCCUCAUGAGCUGUUGACAACCUGUAGCUCUUCAUCUCGGUGUAGAGCCUGCUCACAUCAUGGAAGACAGGAAACAGAGAGAAAGACAGAGAGAGCAAAGACAUGAUUUAAAUUCUAAGAAUAUGACCUACUUUUUCCAGUUAUGCCCCAUCUCCUAAUGUUUCCAGGGCUUCUCAAAAUAGCAUCAUGAACUGAGGACAGACCUGCUAAUACAUGAUCUUUUUUUUUUUUUUUUUUUGAGUGACUCAUCUUAUUCAAACCACAACAUGAUCAGAGAAGAAAAAUAAAAAGGGCUACAUAUAUGCUGGAUACCUACAAUAUACAGGCCUCUGGACCUCUUUUCUCCAUCUUAACUAACACCUAUCAUUUAUCUAACUUCCUCAAGAUUUGUUGAGAUGGGAGUUGGGAGGAGAAGGGAAUGAUAACUCCAUCUCCGCUUUCCAUCUCUGGUUCUUCCUCUUCUUCCUCCUCCUCCUUACCCUCUUCCUCUUCUUCUUCUUCCUCCUCCUCCUUAGAUUUAUUUUGUUUAUAUGAGUAUACUGUAGCUAUCUUCAGACACAUCAGAAGAGGGAAUUGGAUUCCAUUAAGAAUGGUUGUGAGCUACUAAGUGAUUGCUGAGAAUUGAACUCAGGAGCUCUGGAAGAACAGCCAGUGCUCUUAACCACUGAGCCAUCUCUCCAGCUCCUACUUGUUUCUUUCUUGUUACCUCUCUUUUCCAAAUGUUAGCUGGCCAGCAGCAAGCAACCAGACCUAGUCCAGGUAAUAUUCCUGGCAAUGAGGUAGGCUAGUGACCAAAUCUACAACACAUGGCCUUUGAGGGAUAUUUAAGGUCCAAAACAUAAGAAAGAUUAUCCGCCCCUGCCCGGCCCAUGCACUGACAGGAAAUAUUAAUGCCCAAUAUAUAGCUAAUCUCUUGAAAUUAUCACUGGGUUCACAGGUUAAGAAUAAAGCAAGUCCAAGUUGAUAACCAAGUAAUAUAUUACUGUGGCCAGGACUCACACAUAGUAUCUACCUUCUUAAUAAGGAAGUCAGAGUUCCCUUUUGGGUUCUUAUUAUCAUGGAUAAAAGAAUUUAAAAACAGAAUGAAAGAAUCAUUUUAUUAGAGUUUGAAAGAAAAACAACAUAACAGGCAAACUGUAAAUCUUAGCAGCUGAUGGGAUGAGGGAAAUGAAACAAAGCAAGCCAGGCCUUUUGAGUUAGGGGUAAAAAUAAACCAUCCUGUUCAGCAAUGGGAAUCAGCCAGCAGCUGCAUGAUAGAGAGGGAGAGAGGCUACAGAGAAAGGAUGAGAAUGUCCUGAGUGUAACGGGAAUCAUCUUUAGGUUUGGGGCCAGUAUCUGAAAGAAAAAUAUGGAAGAAAAAUGUGUAAGUUUUUGUUGUUGUUAUUUCCAGAGCUAAGUACACCAAGCAGGCUUAGUAGGGGUUCAGGUGCAUAUGCAGGCCACAAUUUCUUUAUCCAUCCAUCCAGAGCUUUAAGCAGCUGCAUCCAAAGAGGAGCUUCUGGGAAGGCUAAGUGCAUUAUCUCAUUAAGGGGUGAUUAUUUCUCCAGGCUUCUGGCCAUACAGUCUACAAGCCUCGCUGAAUUAACUCUCAAAGAAGACACAGUAUGUAAUGAUCUAAUUCUUGGAGCAGAACUGAGUGUCAUAUCUCCAGCUAGGGACAGAAAUAAAAUCCAUUACAUUAACCAGGAAGUAGUUUCUUUUAAUGGCCUUCGAUAGUGCCCCAGUAUCUUUAUGUUUUCAUGUGGUAUUUUAAGUCCUAAACUGGGGCAUUUUUAGUGUUUAACUCUCUGUGUUAUACAGGAAACAGGAGGUGUUAUCCAAAACCAACCAUAUUUCUAGUACUUAUUCAUGUUUAAUUAAAACACAUACCCUUUAGAUAGCAAUUCUGUUGUGGGUUAUACACCAGAGAAGACUGCUCAGAAAAGGGUUUAAGCCAAUAGAAAGUUUUUAUUAACCUGUCAGCCACUGCACUGGGUGUUCAGGAUCCCAGUGUAGUCCCUAUCCUUUCUUGGGGUAAGCUUUUAAACACAAAAACUAUGUUCUGGGUUGUCAUAGUUCAGUUAACAAGAACGGUUAGCCAGAAGUGGAACUACAGAAGCUAAAAAACAACGUCUGUAUAUUUAGAGACUUCCCCAGAAAAAAAUGGUCUCUGAUGGACUUUGAUGGAUGUGACCUUUGUUUUCAUUUUGGCAGGUGAUACUGUCUACAUGCUGAAUUUUAUGAGUUGAUUGGUACUUCCAUCCUGGAGUCAGUUGUGUUAAGGUCUGGAGGCCUAUUAAAGCCCGCGCCCCUGUUAUAGUUCUUAAUUUCUCUACCAUCAUAUUCCUGAAAAUCAGUAUUUUCCAUGUAUCUCAGAAUUUGACCAUUUCAGAAUAUAAUAUAAGUAGAAUCACACAGUAUUUGUUCUUCUUUGAGAAUAUCUUCUUCUUAUCAAUAGUAGAUAACCCACCAAGGCCCAAUAUUUAUAUAUCUCCAUCUUUAAUCUCUCAUACCUUAUAAAACUUUUAUUUCCAUAAAUCCCCAUGCCUACUCCUGGAACCACUGGCCUGAAGCUGCUGACCUUCUCCUCAAUUCCUUCAUUUCCUUUGUACCAAUUAUUUUAAAAACUGUCUUAGUUAGGGUUUUACUGCUGUGAAAGAUAUCAUGACCAAAGCAACUCUUAUAAGGACAACAUGUAAUUGGGUCUGGCUUACAGGUUCAGAGAUUCAGUCUAUUAUCACCAAGGUGGGAACAUAGCAGCAUCCAGGCAGGCAUGGUGCAGGAAGAGCUGAGAGUUCUACAUCUUCAUCUGAAGGCUGCUAGCAGAAUACUGGCUUCCAGGCAUCUAGGUCUAGGAUAUUAAAGCUCAUGCCCAAAGUUACACAGGUACUCCAACAAGGCUAUGCCUCCUAAUAGUGCCUCUCCCUGGGCCAAACAUAGAAAACCCACUAUACUAGACCAUCAGAAAAGCCUGUGGGGUUGGAUUCCAGCCUAUGAGAAAAAAAGCAGCCAUCUUGUUUGUGGGAGAAAGCAAGAGAGCAGUCCUGCCCCAGUGUUCUGCUAACCUGUUUUUGGGAGCUUCUCACUUUUUUUUUUUUUUUUAAGUUUCUUUGCUGAGCUCCUUUCAUGGUUCUCAUGUGUUCCUUUGUGUGACACAGAGAUUAUUCUUGUUUCUAACCCUUCUGUAACUGCCCUAUGUGACUCACUGUGUCACAUGUCUUUUUAAGGUGAAAAGUAUCUAACUGCAUAUGCAUACCAUGAUUUAUUUAUCCACCCAUACCCAUACAGAUAAAUAUUUAGGUUGUUAGUGUACCUGGACUACUGUAUAUAAUGCUACAAUAAACAUGAGAAUGC